rnacentral:rRNA from 1 species
AUGAACGCUGGCGGCGUGCCUCAUCCAUGCAAGUCGAGCGAACAGAUGAGGAGCUUGCUCCUCUGACGUUAGCGGCGGACGGGUGAGUAACACGUGGAUAACCUACCUAUAAGACUGGGAUAACUUCGGGAAACCGGAGCUAAUACCGGAUAAUAUAUUGAACCGCAUGGUUCAAUAGUGAAAGACGGUUUUGCUGUCACUUAUAGAUGGAUCCGCGCCGCAUUAGCUAGUUGGUAAGGUAACGGCUUACCAAGGCAACGAUGCGUAGCCGACCUGAGAGGGGGACCGCCAACCCUGAACCUAGAAACGGUCCAGACUCCUAAGGGAGGCAGCAGUAGGGAAUCUUCCGCAAUGGGCGAAAGCCUGACGGAGCAACGCCGCGUGAGUGAUGAAGGUCUUCGGAUCGUAAAACUCUGUUAUUAGGGAAGAACAAAUGUGUAAGUAACUAUGCACGUCUUGACGGUACCUAAUCAGAAAGCCACGGCUAACUACGUG